rnacentral:rRNA from 1 species
CAGCAGCCGCGGUAAUACGAAGGGUGCAAGCGUUACUCGGAAUUACUGGGCGUAAAGCGUGCGUAGGUGGUGGUUUAAGUCCGUUGUGAAAGCCCUGGGCUCAACCUGGGAAUUGCAGUGGAUACUGGGUCACUAGAGUGUGGUAGAGGAUAGUGGAAUUUCCGGUGUAGCAGUGAAAUGCGUAGAGAUCGGAAGGAACAUCUGUGGCGAAGGCGACUAUCUGGGCCAACACUGACACUGAGGCACGAAAGCGUGGGGAGCAAACAGGACUAGAUACCCGCGUAGUCCCUGUCUCUUAUAC